rnacentral:rRNA from 1 species
CCUACGGGGGGCAGCAGUGAGGAAUCUUGGUCAAUGGACGCAAGUCUGAACCAGCCAUGCCGCGUGCAGGAAGACGGCUCUAUGAGUUGUAAAAUGCUUUUGUACGAGGGUAAACGCAGAUACGCGUAUCUGUCUGCAAGUAUCGUACGAAUAAGGAUCGGCUAACUCCGUGCCCGCAGCCGCGGUAAUACGGAGGAUUCAAGCGUUAUCCGGAUUUAUUGGGUUUAAAGGGUGCGUAGGCGGUCGGAUAAGUUAGAGGUGAAAUCCCGAGGCUCAACCUUGGAAUUGCCUCUGAUCCUGUUCGGCUAGAGAGUAGUGGCGGUAGGCGGAAUGUAUGGUGUAGCGGUGAAAUGCUUAGAGAGCAUACAGAACACCGAUUGCGAAGGCAGCUUACCAAGCUACUUCUGACGUUGAGGCACGAAAGCGUGGGGAGCAAACAGGAUUAGAUACCCGAGUAGUC